GGGAUCCGGAGAUGAUCCCUUUCCAAAAAUUGGUACUCAAUAAUUAUAACUAUAUUAUUUUAUGAAGUUGUUGAAACAUUAAAGAAUGGACCUUUUUUGUGUAACACCGUUACAAAUUUUAUUCAAAAUAAAGAGUUUAAGCAGGCAAAAAGUUAAGGAAAUUCUUAAUUAUUUAAAAAUUUCAAUGCUACACACUGUAAUAAGUUCAGUAACCAAUACAAAUGACUUUUUGAAGAUGGAAAAAUCAGAUGUAGGCAGAUUACUUGCUGGCGCAUUAUAUCCAUCUUUCUUUCUCUCUUUAGCAUCUUAUGAAAACUCCAUUCAAGGUACAAGGGACAACAUAAAUUACAAAAUGGAAAAGCUAACUGUUCUAGAAAAUUAUCUAAAAGCUGUUGGCCCGAUGCUUGCAGGUGGUGGUGGUGGUGGUGGUGGAAGAGAAGGUGCCGCCGUUACACUGCCAGCAACGUCCUCAGGGAGUAAUUUUUUUACCCAACCAUCACCAUUCAAGGACAUAACUCGCACAAUCAGGCAGCUUGCCGGAGGCUUUGGACUGCUUU